GAACACACCAGCAAUUGGCAAUGACCAUAAGAUCAACCCUUGAUGUAAUGAUAUACUUGUGGCGAACAUGCAAUCAAGAAUUGGACCACUUGUAGUCUUGUAUACAUACAUAUAUUGCAUAGUCCAAAACGGAUGAACACCAGCUGAGGUCCAACAUUUGCCACAGAUUGGCAUUGAUUGUUACACAGGUCACAAAGGUAAUCACAAAAUUCCGGGUACAGUUGAUUCUCUCGUGAUGCGGCGCCGGUCGCAAAGAGCAAAACAGUAAAACAAAAGGAACAGCACAAUACAUAUGAGCAAAUACAUAUCACUUUUUAUCUAGCUAGUUUCCUCCACACGGUGCGACCACGGUUGAUCUCGUCCCCAGCCCCAGCAAAUCUCAAGCAGUGCAAGAACUGACGCUGCUCUUCUGGGUGCGGCGCUGAAAACAGAGAUCCAUUAGAAUUUAUCUCCUCCCCUUCCUCUAUAUAGGUGAGAGAAUCGACUAUGUCAUCAUGCUGGCAC
rnacentral:lncRNA from 1 species